GACGAACGCUGGCGGCGUGCCUAAUACAUGCAAGUAGAACGCUGAAGAGAGGAGCUUGCUCUUCUUGGGUGAGUUGCGAACGGGUGAGUAACGCGUAGGUAACCUGCCUUGUAGCGGGGGAUAACUAUUGGAAACGAUAGCUAAUACCGCAUAACAAUGGAUGACACAUGUCAUUUAUUUGAAAGGGGCAAUUGCUCCACUACAAGAUGGACCUGCGUUGUAUUAGCUAGUAGGUGAGGUAAUGGCUCACCUAGGCGACGAUACAUAGCCGACCUGAGAGGGUGAUCGGCCACACUGGGACUGAGACACGGCCCAGACUCCUACGGGAGGCAGCAGUAGGGAAUCUUCGGCAAUGGGGGCAACCCUGACCGAGCAACGCCGCGUGAGUGAAGAAGGUUUUCGGAUCGUAAAGCUCUGUUGUAAGUCAAGAACGGGUGUGAGAGUGGAAAGUUCACACUGUGACGGUAGCUUACCAGAAAGAGACGGCUAACUACGUG
rnacentral:rRNA from 1 species